rnacentral:rRNA from 1 species
CUAGCGUAUAUUAAAGUUGUUGCAGUUAAAAAGCUCGUAGUUGGAUUUCUGGGAGGGUGCCAAUGUCCGUCGUCGUACGUGUUGCAGCGGCGCCCUUCCAUCCUUCUGUUAACGACUUUGGGCAUUCACUUGCCGGAGUCGGGCUCAGAUAUUUUACCUUGGGAAAAUUAGAGUGUUUCAGGCAGGCUAGGCCGGAAUACAUUAGCAUGGAAUAAUGGAAUAGGACUACGGUCUCUUUGUUGGUUUGAGGGACUGCAGUAAUGAUUAAUAGGGAUAGUUGGGGGCAUUAGUAUUUAAUUGUCAGAGGUGGAAUUCUCGGAUUUGUUAAAGACUAACUUAUGCGAAAGCAUUUGCCAAGGAUGUUUUCAUUAAUCAAGAACGAAAGUUAGGGGAUCAAAGACGAUCAGAUACCGUCCUAGUCUUAACCAUAAACUAUGCCGACUCGGGAUUGGGGGCGUGUUCUAUCCGCCUUCAGCACCGUAUGAGAAAUCAAAGUCUU